rnacentral:lncRNA from 1 species
CAAAAAGGCAUUCUUAGACAAUUUAGCCCGAAGAAGGGGACAAGAAUAGAAAAAGAGGAAAAUGAAAGCAAGGAAGAGGAAAAAGGAGAAGAAGAAGGAGGAGAGGAAGGAGGGGAAGAAAAAGGGGACAAAAGGAUAAGAAGAAGAAGGAGAAGAAGGAGAAGAAGAAGGAGAAGAAGAAGGAGAAGAAGAAGGAGAAGGAGCUCCCGCUC